rnacentral:rRNA from 1 species
UACGAAGGGGGCUAGCGUUGCUCGGAAUCACUGGGCGUAAAGCGCACGUAGGCGGAUUGUUAGGUCAGGGGUGAAAUCCUGGAGCUCAACUCCAGAACUGCCUUUGAUACUGGCGAUCUCGAGUCCGGGAGAGGUGAGUGGAACUGCGAGUGUAGAGGUGAAAUUCGUAGAUAUUCGCAAGAACACCAGUGGCGAAGGCGGCUCACUGGCCCGGUACUGACGCUGAGACGCGAAAGCGUGGGGAGCAAACAGG